rnacentral:rRNA from 1 species
UAGGGAAUCUUCGGCAAUGGACGAAAGUCUGACCGAGCAACGCCGCGUGAGUGAAGAAGGUUUUCGGAUCGUAAAACUCUGUUGUUAGAGAAGAACAAGGACGUUAGUAACUGAACGUCCCCUGACGGUAUCUAACCAGAAAGCCACGGCUAACUACGUGCCAGCAGCCGCGGUAAUACGUAGGUGGCAAGCGUUGUCCGGAUUUAUUGGGCGUAAAGCGAGCGCAGGCGGUUUCUUAAGUCUGAUGUGAAAGCCCCCGGCUCAACCGGGGAGGGUCAUUGGAAACUGGGAGACUUGAGUGCAGAAGAGGAGAGUGGAAUUCCAUGUGUAGCGGUGAAAUGCGUAGAUAUAUGGAGGAACACCAGUGGCGAAGGCGGCUCUCUGGUCUCUAACUGACGCUGAGGCUCGAAAGCGUGGGGAGCAAACAGG